CUACGGGAGCCGGACUUCACCCCGACUUCAAUUGCAGGAAGACUCCGUCCAGACUCCUACGGGAGCCGGACUUCGUCUCCGACUUCAACCGCAGGUAGACUUCGUCCGGACUCCUAUGGGAGCCGGACUUCGUCCCCGACUUCAACUGCAAGUGGAUUUCGUCCGGACUCCUACGGGAGCCGGACUUUGCUCCCAACUUCAAUUGC
rnacentral:lncRNA from 1 species